AGGAACUGUAUCAAUGAGAUUCACAACGGGUUCAAGAUACCAUCGUUUUUCUGUCAAGAGGCAUUAAGAGAGCUAGUUCCUUGGAAUGUGGAGAAGUAACGUCCCUGGAUAGAGAGGAAAGCAGAGUGACUGGAGAUUCUGAUUCACAGUGGAGUUAAGUCUGCUUAUCCAGUGGCCUCUGAGCUUUCCUUCUGCACCUACAGGAACCUGCUUCUAACACUUGGCCAGACAAGUCUGAGACCUUCAAUACAAGACUGAAAAAGGGAAGAGAGGGAGACAGAG